rnacentral:rRNA from 1 species
GACGAACGCUGGCGGCGUGCUUAACACAUGCAAGUCGAGCGAUGAAGCUCCUUCGGGAGUGGAUUAGCGGCGGACGGGUGAGUAACACGUGGGUAACCUGCCUCAUAGAGGGGAAUAGCCUUUAGAAAGGAAGAUUAAUACCGCAUAAGAUUGUAGCUUCGCAUGAAGCAGCAAUUAAAGGAGUAAUCCGCUAUGAGAUGGACCCGCGUCGCAUUAGCUAGUUGGUGAGGUAACGGCUCACCAAGGCGACGAUGCGUAGCCGACCUGAGAGGGUGAUCGGCCACAUUGGGACUGAGACACGGCCCAGACUCCUACGGGAGGCAGCAGUGGGGAAUAUUGCACAAUGGGGGAAACCCUGAUGCAGCAACGCCGCGUGAGUGAUGACGGUCCUCGGAUUGUAAAGCUCUGUCUUCAGGGACGAUAAUGACGGUACCUGAGGAGGAAGCCACGGCUAACUACGUGCCAGCCGCCGCAGUAA